rnacentral:lncRNA from 1 species
UAAGAGGAUCGAACUGUAAAUCAGUGGCAUCGGAUCCACGAGGACGUGGAUAAGGGAAGCGUGGCCGACUGUAAAGAAUAUUUUCUACGCCGGCCCUGACGGACGACUAAAAGAAAUGGAUGUUCUGACAAACAGCAUAGAUGCCCGAAUAUGGAUAAUGAAGUAUUUAAUGAGUCAGUCGAUUAUAGUAUUUCGUGAUAGAAAAAGACAUGUGUACCUAGACAUUAAAAUAAAUGUAUUAAAUUCUGAAUUUGCCUUUAAAUAUUUAAC